GGGGGGUCGUGUGCCGGUGCAACGCCCGGGCUUCAAACCCGGUGAGGGGCGUUAAACGUCCUUGGUGGGUUCAACUCCCACCCCCUUCCGCCA
rnacentral:tRNA from 1 species